rnacentral:tRNA from 1 species
AGCUCAGUUGGGAGAGCGCGUGAAUCGCACUCACGAGGUCAGGGGUUCGAAUCCCCUCGGAUCCACAACCA